rnacentral:rRNA from 1 species
GACGAACGCUGGCGGCGUGCUUAACACAUGCAAGUCGAACGGAAAGUCCUCUUUCGGGGGGUCCUCGAGUGGCGAACGGGUGAGUAACACGUUUGUAUCCUGCCCUUCUCUUUGGGAUAACUUCUGGUAACUGGUGCUAUUACCGGAUAGGAGCUCCUUCUGCAUGGUGUGGGUUGGAAAGUUUCUGCGUUUGGGGUUGGACUCGCGGCUUAUCAGCUUGUUGGUGGUGUAUUGGCUUACCAAGGCUUUGACGGGUAGCCGGCCUGGGAGGGUGACCGGCCACAUUGAGACUGAGAUAAGGACAAGACGCAGACGGGAGGGAGAAGUGGGGAAGAUUGAAAAAUGGGUGGAAGCGAGAUGCAGAAACGCCGAGUGCGGGAUGACGGACUUGGGGUUGUAAAACGAAUGCGCUAAUAACGAAGAUUAGAGUGACGGUAGUGGGAAAAGAAGCACCGGCUAACUACGUG